CAUGCAAGUCGAGCGAACCUCUUCGGAGGUUAGCGGCGGACGGGUGAGUAACACGUGGGUAACCUGCCUGUAAGACUGGGAUAACUUCGGGAAACCGAAGCUAAUACCGGAUAAGUUUUCAAACCGCAUGGUUUGAAAUGGAAAGAUGGUUUCGGCUAUCACUUACAGAUGGACCCGCGUCGCAUUAGCUAGUUGGUGAGGUAACGGCUCACCAAGGCGACGAUGCGUAGCCGACCUGAGAGGGUGAUCGGCCACACUGGGACUGAGACACGGCCCAGACUCCUACGGGAGGCAGCAGUAGGGAAUCUUCGGCAAUGGGCGAAAGCCUGACCGAGCAACGCCGCGUGAGUGAUGAAGGCCUUCGGGUCGUAAAACUCUGUUGUCAGGGAAGAACAAGUACGAGAGUAACUGCUCGUACCUUGACGGUACCUGAUUAGAAAGCCACGGCUAACUACGUGCCAGCAGCCGCGGUAAUACGUAGGUGGCGAGCGUUAUCCGGAAUUAUUGGGCGUAAAGCGCGCGCAGGCGGUCUUUUAAGUCUGAUGUGAAAGCCCACGGCUCAACCGUGGAGGGUCAUUGGAAACUGGGAGACUUGAGUGCAGAAGAGAAGAGCGGAAUUCCACGUGUAGCGGUGAAAUGCGUAGAGAUGUGGAGGAACACCAGUGGCGAAGGCGGCUCUUUGGUCUGUAACUGACGCUGA
rnacentral:rRNA from 1 species